GACAGAGGGGGCAAGCGUUGCUCGGAAUCACUGGGCGUAAAGGGCGCGUAGGCGGGAUGGCAAGUCGGUCGUGAAAUCCUUCGGCUCAACCGAAGAACGUCGGCCGAUACUGCCGUUCUUGAGGGAUGCAGAGGAGAUUGGAAUUCCCGGUGUAGCGGUGAAAUGUGUAGAGAUCGGGAGGAAUACCGGUGGCGAAAGCGACUCUCUGGACGGCAACUGACGCUGAGGCACGAAAGCGUGGGGAGCAAACAGG
rnacentral:rRNA from 1 species